ACCCUCCACCUCCCUUUCCCAUCGGAUCAAAACACCGGUCUGGGUGGUCGUAAAAGGAGGAAAAGAAACAUGGAAGUUGCCCCGCUGUGCUCUUGGAGCUUGGGCAAGUUUCAAACAGGG